rnacentral:rRNA from 1 species
UACGUAGGGUGCGAGCGUUAAUCGGAAUUACUGGGCGUAAAGCGUGCGCAGGCGGUUCGUUGUGUCGGCGGUGAAAGCCCCGGGCUCAACCUGGGAAUGGCCGUUGAAACUGGCGAACUGGAGUGUGGCAGAGGGGGGUGGAAUUCCGCGUGUAGCAGUGAAAUGCGUAGAGAUCGGGAGGAAGGCCGGUGGCGAAGGCGGCGCUCUGGAACAUUUCUGACGCUGAGGCUCGAAAGCGUGGGGAGCAAACAGG